GAUGAACGCUGGCGGCGUGCUUAACACAUGCAAGUCGAACGAUGAAGCCCAGCUUGCUGGGUGGAUUAGUGGCGAACGGGUGAGUAACACGUGAGUAACCUGCCCUUAACUCUGGGAUAAGCCUGGGAAACUGGGUCUAAUACCGGAUAGGAGCGUCCACCGCAUGGUGGGUGUUGGAAAGAUUUAUCGGUUUUGGAUGGACUCGCGGCCUAUCAGCUUGUUGGUGAGGUAAUGGCUCACCAAGGCGACGACGGGUAGCCGGCCUGAGAGGGUGACCGGCCACACUGGGACUGAGACACGGCCCAGACUCCUACGGGAGGCAGCAGUGGGGAAUAUUGCACAAUGGGCGCAAGCCUGAUGCAGCGACGCCGCGUGAGGGAUGACGGCCUUCGGGUUGUAAACCUCUUUCAGUAGGGAAGAAGCGAAAGUGACGGUACCUGCAGAAGAAGCACCGGCUAACUACGUGCCAGCAGCCGCGGUAAUACGUAGGGUGCGAGCGUUAUCCGGAAUUAUUGGGCGUAAAGAGCUCGUAGGCGGUUUGUCGCGUCUGUCGUGAAAGUCCGGGGCUUAACCCCGGAUCUGCGGUGGGUACGGGCAGACUAGAGUGCAGUAGGGGAGACUGGAAUUCCUGGUGUAGCGGUGGAAUGCGCAGAUAUCAGGAGGAACACCGAUGGCGAAGGCAGGUCUCUGGGCUGUAACUGACGCUGAGGAGCGAAAGCAUGGGGAGCGAACAGG
rnacentral:rRNA from 1 species